rnacentral:rRNA from 1 species
UACGAAGGGGGCUAGCGUUGUUCGGAAUCACUGGGCGUAAAGGCGCGUAGGCGGCUUUAUAAGUCGGGGGUGAAAGCCUGUGGCUCAACCACAGAAUUGCCUUCGAUACUGUAGAGCUUGAGACCGGAAGAGGUAAGUGGAACUGCGAGUGUAGAGGUGAAAUUCGUAGAUAUUCGCAAGAACACCAGUGGCGAAGGCGGCUUACUGGUCCGGUUCUGGACGCUGAGGCGCGAAAGCGUGGGGAGCAAACAGG